rnacentral:rRNA from 1 species
AGCGCGUCCUUCGGGAUGGCGGCGAGUGGCGAACGGGUGAGUAAAGCAUCGGAACGUGCCCGGUAGUGCGGGAUAGCUCGGCGAAAGCCGGAUUAAUACCGCAUGAGAUCCGAGGAUGAAAGCAGGGGACCCGCAAGGGCCUUGCGCUACUGGAGCGGCCGAUGUCAGAUUAGGUAGUUGGUGAGGUAAAGGCUCACCAAGCCUGCGAUCUGUAGCUGGUCUGAGAGGAUGAUCAGCCACAUCGGGACUGAGACACGGCCCGAACUCCUACGGGAGGCAGCAGUGGGGAAUUUUGGACAAUGGGCGCAAGCCUGAUCCAGCCAUGCCGCGUGCAGGAUGAAGGCCUUCGGGUUGUAAACUGCUUUUGUACGGAACGAAAAGCCUCUCUUUAAUAAAUGGGGGUGAUGACGGUACCGUAAGAAUAAGCACCGGCUAACUACGUGCCAGCAGCCGCGGUAAUACGUAGGGUGCGAGCGUUAAUCGGAAUUACUGGGCGUAAAGCGUGCGCAGGCGGUCUUGCAAGACAGUGGUGAAAUCCCCGGGCUCAACCUGGGAACUGCCAUUGUGACUGCAAGGCUGGAGUGCGGCAGAGGGGGAUGGAAUUCCGCGUGUAGCAGUGAAAUGCGUAGAUAUGCGGAGGAACACCGAUGGCGAAGGCAAUCCCCUGGGCCUGCACUGACGCUCAUGCACGAAAGCGUGGGGAGCAAACAGGAUUAGAUACCCUGGUAGUCCACGCCCUAAACGAUGUCAACUGGUUGUUGGGGAUUAACUUUCUCAGUAACGAAGCUAACGCGUGAAGUUGACCGCCUGGGGAGUACGGCCGCAAGGUUAAAACUCAAAGGAAUUGACGGGGACCCGCMCAAGCGGUGGAUGAUKUGGUUUAAUUCGAUGCAACGCGAAAAACCUUACCCACCUUUGACUGGUAUGGAA